rnacentral:rRNA from 1 species
GAUGAACGCUGGCGGCGUGCCUAAUACAUGAAAGUCGAGCGAACAGAUGAGGAGCUUGCUCCUCUGACGUUAGCGGCGGACGGGUGAGUAACACGUGGAUAACCUACCUAUAAGACUGGGAUAACUUCGGGAAACCGGAGCUAAUACCGGAUAAUAUAUUGAACCGCAUGGUUCAAUAGUGAAAGACGGUUUUGCUGUCACUUAUAGAUGGAUCCGCGCCGCAUUAGCUAGUUGGUAAGGUAACGGCUUACCAAGGCAACGAUGCGUAGCCGACCUUAGAGGGUGAUCGGCCACACUGGAACUGAGACACGGUCCAGACUCCGACGGGAGGCAGCAGUAGGCAAUCUUCCGCAAUGGGCGAAAGCCUGACGGAGCAACGCCGCGUGAGUGAUGAAGGUCUUCGGAUCGUAAAACUCUGUUAUUAGGGAAGAACAAAUGUGUAAGUAACUAUGCACGUCUUGACGGUACCUAAUCAGAAAGCCACGGCUAACUACGU